rnacentral:rRNA from 1 species
ACUGGUUGAUCCUGCCAGUAGUCAUAUGCUUGUUUCAAGGAUUAAGCCAUGCAUGCCUCCGAGUAACUGAAUAGAUAAGAGGUCUGCGAACGGCUCAUUAAAUCAGCAAUGAUCCAAGGGGCGGAGUGGGGUGCCGGAACCUCGCCAGUCGGAUAACUCUCGGUAACUCCAAAGCUAAUACGUGUACGAAGGAUCUCGCCCAUAACCUGCGCGCGGGGCAACUCGUGCGUAGGGGCGGGAUGCGCUUGGCCGAGUCAAAAACCAGCCCGCGACAAGCGGAGCAGGAUGCUGAGUCAGGCCAUGAACGCGAUAGCGCACGACUACAGGUCGGCGCAGUGCCCCUGGGAUUGCUGCCCUAUCAUGCUUUCGAAGGUAGGGUCGUGGCCUACCUUGGCCGUUACGGGUAACGGGGAAUUAGGGUUCGAUUCCGGAGAGGGAGCCUGAGACACGGCUACCAGUUCCACGGAAGGCAGCAGGCGCGCAAAUUGCCCAAUGCCGAGACCCUCGGCGAGGCAGCGACGAGAAAUAGGAACCCCACGCGUCUAGUGCGUGUGGGGAUUUCAAUGACUUGUAUCCAGACCAACUUGUGAUUAUCAAUUGGAGGGCAAGUCUGGUGCCAGCAGCCGCGGUAAUUCCAGCUCCAAUAGCGUAUAUUAACGUUGUUGCUGUUAAAAAGCUCGUAGUUGGAUUCAGAGUCAGAGGUUGUGAGGCGUGGGUCGUGACCCGGUGGUUCUGCCAUCGGGGAGCGGCCAAAACACCCUCACGCAGGCCCCUGGCUUUACCACGGGGAUAAAGUAGGCCGGGGAAGGUCCACUUAACUGUGGGUCGACCCAACACCGCGCCAAACACGCGCUGACGGCCCGUCCCUGGACGUUACUGUGAACAAAACAGCGUGUUCAAGGCAGUCGGACUGCCGACCUGAAUGUCCAAGCAUGGAAUAACAGGGGAUCGACCACUCCGGUUGGUUCUUUGUUGGUGUUUUGCCCCGGAGUUUUGGGCAAUGCGGGCCUUGGGUGGUCGCGGCAGGCCCUGCUGACGCUUCGUGCCGACGCAUCCUGACGUGGGCCCAGGUCCAUCGGGAUCAAUAGGGGCUACCCGGGGAGAUACGUACUGUCCGGUCAGAGGUGAAAUUCUUAGACCCGGGCAAGACGAACUUCUGCGAAGGCAUUUCUCAAGUGUGCCUUCAUUAAUCAAGAACGAGAGUGUGGGGAUCGAAGAUGAUCAGAUACCGUCGUAGUCCACACUGUAAACGAUGCCGACUCGGGAUUGGGGGCUGACCUCACUUGGUCUCCCCCAGUACCAUCCCCUGUACCGAGAAAUCAAAGUUUUUGGGCUCAGGGGGGAGUACAUUCGCAAGGCUGAAACUUGAAGGAAUUGACGGAAUGACACCACAAGGCGUGGAGUGUGCGGCUUAAUUUGACCCAACACGGGGAACCUUACCAGGUCAGGACAAUGUGAGGAUUGACAGAUUGAGAGCUCUUUCAAGAUUCAUUGGAUGGUGGUGCAUGGCCGUUGCUGGUUGGUGGGGUGACCUGUCUGGUUGAUUCCGUUAACGAACGAGAUCUCCACCGCU